rnacentral:sRNA from 1 species
UGAAUGCCUGUCUACUAGUCCCAUCACU